GACGAACGCUGGCGGCGUGCUUAACACAUGCAAGUCGAACGGUGACCUCGAGAGCUUGCUCUCGGGCGAUCAGUGGCGAACGGGUGAGUAACACGUGAGUAACCUGCCCCAGACUCUGGAAUAACCCCGGGAAACCGGAGCUAAUACCGGAUACGAGACGGAGUCGCAUGGCUACCGUCUGGAAAGUUUUUCGGUCUGGGAUGGACUCGCGGCCUAUCAGCUUGUUGGUGAGGUAACGGCUCACCAAGGCGACGACGGGUAGCCGGCCUGAGAGGGCGACCGGCCACACUGGGACUGAGACACGGCCCAGACUCCUACGGGAGGCAGCAGUGGGGAAUAUUGCACAAUGGGCGAAAGCCUGAUGCAGCGACGCCGCGUGAGGGAUGACGGCCUUCGGGUUGUAAACCUCUUUUAGCAGGGAAGAAGCGAAAGUGACGGUACCUGCAGAAAAAGCACCGGCUAACUACGUGCCAGCAGCCGCCGUAACAC
rnacentral:rRNA from 1 species